rnacentral:rRNA from 1 species
GACGAACGCUGGCGGCGUGCUUAACACAUGCAAGUCGAACGGAAAGGCCCUGCUUUUGUGGGGUGCUCGAGUGGCGAACGGGUGAGUAACACGUGAGUAACCUUCCCUUUACUUUGGGAUAACUUCAGGAAACUGGGGCUAAUACCGGAUAGGAGCUCCUGCUGCAUGGUGGGGGUUGGAAAUUUUCGGCGGUUGGGGAUGGACUCGCGGCUUAUCAGCUUGUUGGUGGGGUAGUGGCUUACCAAGGCUUUGACGGGUAGCCGGCCUGAGAGGGUGACCGGCCACAUUGGGACUGAGAUACGGCCCAGACUCCUACGGGAGGCAGCAGUGGGGAAUAUUGCACAAUGGGCGGAAGCCUGAUGCAGCAACGCCGCGUGCGGGAUGACGGCCUUCGGGUUGUAAACCGCUUUCGCCUGUGACGAAGCGUGAGUGACGGUAAUGGGUAAAGAAGCACCGGCUAACUACGUG